rnacentral:rRNA from 1 species
GACGAACGCUGGCGGCGUGCUUAACACAUGCAAGUCGAACGAUGAAGCCCAGCUUGCUGGGUGGAUUAGUGGCGAACGGGUGAGUAACACGUGGGCAACCUGCCCCAAACUCUGGGAUAACUCCUCGAAAGAGGUGCUAAUACCGGAUACGAACUAGACAGACAUCUGUACUAGUUGGAAAGUUUUUCGGUUUGGGAUGGGCCCGCGGCCUAUCAGCUUGUUGGUGAGGUAACGGCUCACCAAGGCUACGACGGGUAACCGGCCGUGAGAGGGCGACCGGUCACACUGGGACUGAGACACGGCCCAGACUCCUACGGGAGGCAGCAGUGGGGAAUAUUGCGCAAUGGGCGAAAGCCUGACGCAGCGACGCCGCGUGAGGGAUGAAGGUCUUCGGAUCGUAAACCUCUUUCAGUAGGGACGAAGCGAAAGUGACGGUACCUAAAGAAGAAGCACCGGCUAACUACGUGCCAGCAGCCGCCGUAA